rnacentral:rRNA from 1 species
UAAGGAAUAUUGGUCAAUGGACGCAAGUCUGAACCAGCCAUGCCGCGUGAAGGAUGAAGGUCCUCUGGAUUGUAAACUUCUUUUGUAGGGGAAGAAACCCUGGUAUUCCUACCAGGUUGACGGUACCCUAGGAAUAAGCACCGGCUAACUCCGUGCCAGCAGCCGCGGUAAUACGGAGGGUGCAAGCGUUAUCCGGAUUCACUGGGUUUAAAGGGUGCGUAGGAGGAUAGGUAAGUCAGUGGUGAAAUCUCCGGGCUUAACUCGGAAACUGCCGUUGAUACUCUCUGUCUUGAAUCCCGUGGAGGUGAGCGGAAUAUGUCAUGUAGCGGUGAAAUGCUUAGAUAUGACAUAGAACACCAAUUGCGAAGGCAGCUCGCUACACGAAGAUUGACUCUGAGGCACGAAAGCGUGGGGAUCAAACA